rnacentral:rRNA from 1 species
UAACCUGCCUGGUAGCGGGGGAUAACUAUUGGAAACGAUAGCUAAUACCGCAUAAGAGUAGAUGUUGCAUGACAUCUACUUAAAAGGUGCAAUUGCAUCACUACCAGAUGGACCUGCGUUGUAUUAGCUAGUUGGUGAGGUAACGGCUCACCAAGGCAACGAUACAUAGCCGACCUGAGAGGGUGAUCGGCCACACUGGGACUGAGACACGGCCCAG